ACUGGCCGCAGCCGAUCCCGCGCCCGCCCACCACGCACCGCCGCGGCGUCGUUCGCCGGCCGCCUUCGCUGCGGUUCUACAGACGCUCCGUCCUAUUCCCGCGCCGCGUCUCCUCUGGGUCACUUAUUAAUCUCGACGCCCGUAUGUUCCGGCCGCCGAAUGGCUUUGGGGCGCCGCCCCCCUUUCCUCCUCAGCCUCAGCCAUGGCAGUGGCAGCAACCGCCUCCGCCCCCGCCCUCGCCUUCGCCUGCGGUUACCUUUUGGCAGCGCGACAAUGUGCGGGACCACGUGAGGAAGCUGAAACAGACCAUCGAGUUAUCAACUGCACUGAUAAAAGAGCUCGAGGAAAUUCCAGCGGCCAGAAAUUCCGGUGAUGCCACCACGCAGGAAUCUGCUUUGUCCUUGGCGGAAUUGCCAUCAGGGUCUGGUGAUUCUUCGGAGGACAAGCCGCUCCGAUUCGUUGAGCUAGCUAGGUCCAUGGGGAUUAGUCAGGACACUCAUGAGUCAAUGGCAACAGAUGCAGCCAAUUACCUUUGUCAUCAGCUUCAGCAGCUUCUUGGGCCUAUCUCUUCUGCGACUAGCCAAGGUGGCCCUUGGGAGGAGAGAUCGGCGAUGGUUAGGUUGACUCAGAAGCUGCAGAAAUAUAAGAGAAAUAAGCGGUGGAGGCAGAGGAGAAGGAAGCAUGUCGCAGAGCUUUUUCAGAAGGAGCGUGCAGAUUAUGAUAGAAUCGACCAGGAAGCUGAUGAAUGGAGGGCUAAGCAAAUUGCCAAGGACAUUGCAAAGCGGAAGGUGGAAAGCAUGCAGCAGAUUGCUAGAAAGAAAGCAAAUGAGGAAAGAAAGCAUCUAGAAUCUGAGCUGGAGCUUGCCCUAAUGGUCGAGAAACUUCAGGAGCUUCGGUCUAUAAGAGUUCAAAAAAUGAAGAAACAAGGUCAUUUUCUUCCCGAAGAGGAUGAUAAAUACCUCGAGCGUGUUAAGGCUGCAGUCGAGGAAGAGGAGCGCCAAGCUGCAUCUGCUGCUCGAACUAAUGCUGUUAAGGAUGCUAUUCUGACUGCUGAGGAAUCAAGGAAGCCUCCACAGAAUGCAAAUUCUCAAGAAGGUGGUUCUGAACAACCUAGUGGACCAUCUGAGGACAAGGACCUGGGAGAUGGCGGGAUAAGUGAGAGAAAUGACCAGGCAAGCCAGAAAACUGAACAUGAAGAUGAAGGCCAUAGAUUUGAGGGAAAAGGGCUUGAACAUCAUGACCCUGUCCGUAGAAUGUGGGAUUCUUUCAUCAGACCUGGAGGAAGCCGUAUACCUGGGCACUGGGUUCAACCACCCCCUCCAGCUGAUGAGGUUUGGGCAUCUUAUUUGGUGCAACCCAAGUAAAUCACCAUGGGUUUGAGAAAUGGCCAUUUCUGCUUCAAGACCACCGGAAUCUUUAUUGUUUCUGCAAGGAUCCAAGGACAAAACAAUGGCAUCUUGUUAAGGCAACUAAAUAGAUCCCAAGUUAAAUUCAGUGAGUGGUAACAGCAAGUACAGACAAGAAGAUACAAUAACCUAUUGGUCUGGGUAUGACUUGGAUUUUAUGACAAGGUGGCAAGAAAAGCAUGCUGAAGGAAACAGCAAAGACUGGACACUGGUGCUCAAGAGUAAAGUUCGUGAAUUAUAAGGUAAAUUUGUAAUAUAAUCCGAAACUUGUAACUGUCAUCUCCUUGACCUUGAGCUAGCUCAUGGCAGUGAAAGCUGUUUGGUGGAUUUGUUUUCCUCUUAAUGAAAUAUAUGCUUUGGCACGUUCUUGGGGGAAAAAAAA